GACACACAGCUCACACACACAAUGACACACAGCCCGCACACACACUCACAGAGCCUGCUCACAUACUGGCACACAGCUUGCUCACACAGCCUACACACUGCCCGAACACACACUGAAACACAGCUUGCUCACAUACUGACAUACAGCUUGCUCACACACAGACUGUUAAUUCACUAACACACAGCGGGCUCACACACUGACACACUGUCUGAACACACACUAAACAGACAGCCUG